AUUCUCUCUCAGCAAUUACAACAGAUGGAAGCUGAGCUGAGCACUUAAGGAACACUAUAGAAACAGAAAAGACAGGAGUCCAAGGUUUUGAUAGAAAAGAUGGAACUAGAAGUGGCAGAGAGAAAACUAUCUUUCCAUAACCUGCAAGAAGAAAUGCAUCAUCUUCUGGAACAGCUUGAACAAGCAGGCCAAGCCCAGGCUGAACUGCAGUCCCGGCACAGUGCUUUGGAACAGAAGCACAAUGCAGAAAUGGAAGAGAAGACCUCUCACAUUUGAGCCUUCAAAAAUCUGAGCAAGAGCUGCACUCUGCCUGUGAUGCCCUCAAGGAUCAAAAUUCAAAACUUCUCCAAGAUAAAAAUGAACAGGCAGCUCAUUCAGCCCAGGUCAUUCAGCAGCUGGAAGAUCAACUCCAGCAAAAAUCUGAAGAAAUUAACCAAUUUCUAAAUAAGCCACCAUUGCUAAAACAUGAAACAGCAUCUCAGACUUGUUUGCCAGAUGUUUCUCAUGAGGGCACACAGGCAGUCACUGAAGAGAGUAUUGCGUUUUUGCAGAAGAGAGUGGUAGAACUAGAGAAUGAAAAGGGAGUCUUGCUCCUUAAUUCUGUAGAGCUGGAGGAGCUGAAAGCUGAGAAUGAAAAACUAUCCUCUCAGAUUACUCUCCUGGAGUCUCAGAAGAGAACUGGAGAGGUAGACAGAGAAGUCCAUGAGGUGAACAUGGUUGAUAUUACCAGGCUCAACAACAGCAGUUUUUCUGCUGAGGAAAGUGGACAAGAUGCCCUGGAGAACACAUUUACUCAGAAGCAUAAAGAACUAUCUGUUUUAUUGCUGGAAAUGAAAGAAGCUCAAGAGGAGAUUGCAUUUCUUAAGAUGCAGCUUCAAGGCAAAAGGGCAGAAGGUGACCCUGAGUUCCUUGAUCAGAAAGAAAUGAAACAGAUAGAGAGUGAAGGAAUACCUCCAGUUAAAAUGACAGUGUUGCUUGAAGAUACAGGGCAGCAUUUUCCACCGACGCCAGAUAAAGAGAACAGUCUCACAACAACUGAGAAAGAAGAGCAGAUGAGCCCCGAACACCAGCGUAGACCAUCUGAGGAAAUAUCUUUAAAUUACACUGGAGUGGAAUUAAAAUCAGCCAAGCAGGACGAUGAUGAUAAACCCUCUUCUGCUGUCCCAGGUAUUUGUCAGUGUCACCAGGAUGAAUUGGAAAGACUAAAAGGUCAAGUUUUGGAGCUUGAGGUAAACCUUCGUAAGGCAGAAGAAAUCUAUGAGAAAAAUUUAGAUGAGAAAGCUAAGGAAAUAGGCAUCCUAACCCAGCUGAUUGAAGAGUUUAAGAAAAAUGCUGAAAACACCAACAAUGCUUUCACUGCUUUGUCUGAAGAAAGAGACCAGCUUCUUGCUCAGGUGAAGGAACUUUGUGUGGUAACGGAACUGAGGGCUCAGGUACAGCAACUAGAAGUGAGCCUUGCAGAAGCAGAAACGCAAAGAAGACUUGACUAUGAAAGUCAGACUGCUCAUCAUGACUUGCUCACUGAACAGAUCCACAGCCUCACCAUAGAAGCCAAAUCUAAAGAUGUGAAGAUUGAAGUUUUACAGAAUGAACUAGAUGGUGUGCAGGUUCAGUUUUCUGAGCAGAGUACUUUGAUCAAAAGCCUGCAGAGCCAGCUGCAGAGGAAGGAAAGUGAAGUGCUUGAGGGGGCAGAACGUGAGAGGGAGGUCUCAAAUAAGGUGGAAGAACUUUCACAGGCCCUUUCACAGAAGGAACUUGAAAUAGCAAAAAUGGAUCAACUCUUACUAGAAAAAAAGAAAGAUGUGGAAAUACUCCAACAGACCAUUGAGGAGAAGGAUCAGCAAGUGACAGAAAUCAGCUUUAGUAUGACAGAGAAAAUGGUUCAGCUUAAUGAAGAGAAAUUUUCUCUUGGGGUUGAAAUAAAGACUCUUAAAGAACAGCUGAAUUUAUUAUCCAGAGCUGAAGAGACCAAAAAAGAGCAGAUGGAAGAAGAUAAAGAAAUUGUUUCCAGCAUUAAACAGAAUUUUGAUGAGUUGAGCCCAGCAGGGCUAAUAAGUAAAGAAGAACUUCAACGUGAAUUAGACCUUGUAAAGAAAGAAAGUGAGCAGAGAAAGAGAAAGCUCCAGGCUGCUCUUAUUAAUAGAAAGGAACUUCUACAGAAAGUCAGUAGAUUAGAAGAGGAAUUGGCCAAAGUGAAAGAUGAACCCAGCAAAGAGAUCCUACUCCAUGAGAGUGAGAGGAGGGAAGUGGAAGAAGAUAAAGAAAGCAAAGAAGACUUAGAAAAAUGUGUGACUUCUAAGUGCCAAGAAAUAGAAAUGUCUUUAAAACAGAUAAUAUCUGAGAAGGAAAUGGAACUAGAGCACAUUAGGAAGGAUUUGGAAGAAAAGGCAGCAAUAGAAGAACAGUUACAGGCUGUGGUCAAACAGAUGAAUCAGAAUUUACAGGAGAAGACAAACCAGAUAGAUCUGCUCCAAGCAGAAGUCAUUGAAAACCAAGCAAUUAUCCAAAAGUUAACCACAGGUAACAAGGAUGCAGGUGAUGGAGACUCAGCAGCACCUGUAAAAGAAGCAGUGGCCAUCAGUCCGCUUGGUGCAGGUAGUGGAGAACACUGGAAACCAGAACUGGAAGGAAAAAUAGUGGACCUUGAAAAAGAAAAGGAGCAACUUCAAAAGAAGCUACAGGAAGUAUUAACCUCUCGCAAGGUGAUUCUGAAAAAGGCACGGGAGAAAGAAAGACAUCUUAGGGAGGAGCUAAAGCAACAGAAGGAUGACUAUAAUCGCUUGCAAGAACAGUUUGAUGAGCAGAGCAAGGAAAAUGAGAACAUUGGGGACCAACUAAAACAACUGCAGAUUCAAGUACAGGAAUCUAUGGACAGAAAAGUCCCAGGCAGUGGCCAGCAGGAACCAGGCUCUCCCACUCAAGGUUUAGAAGAACCUUUAUUCAAAGCCACAAAACAGCAGCCUGUUCAAUCUGUUUCAGAGUCUGACUUGCACCUAGACUGGCCUUCUCAUCUUGGAGAUACAAAUGCUCUGCAGGGCAAUACUGCUAUUGCCCAGAUUAAGACCCAGCUGAAAGAAAUAGAGGCUGAGAAAGAAGAGUUAGAGUUAAAGGUUAACUCUACAAUAAAUGAGCUGACUAAAAAAUCCGAAGAGGUAUUUCAGUUACAAGAGCAGAUAAAUAAACAGGAUUUAGAAAUCCAGAGUCUGAAGGCAGAGUCCUGUGAAGCUGAAGCCCAUGCAGAAACCCUGAGGCAAAAACUGGAAAGCAGUCAACUAGAGAUCGCUGGAUUAGAGCAGUUAAGAGAAUUGAAGCCUGAACUAGAUGAACUGCAAAAACUCAUAAGCAAAAAGGAAGAAGAAGUUAGAUACCUUUCUGGACUGCUUAGUGAAAAGGAAACAGCCCUUACUAAAGUACAAACGGAGAUAACAGAACAAGAGGAUUUAGUAAAGGCACUGCAUACACAGCUGGAAAUGCAAGCCAAAGAACAUGAUGAGAAGAUAAAGCAGUUCCAGGUGGAGCUUUGCGAACUGAAGCAGAAACCAGAAGAGACCGGAGAAGAAAGUAAAGCAAAACAGCAAAUACAGAGGAAACUGCAAGCUGCCCUCAUUUCCCGAAAGGAAGCACUAAAAGAAAACAAAGGUCUCCAGGAGGAGCUGUCUUUGGCCAGAGACACCAUUGAGCAUCUCACUAAGUCUCUGGCAGAUGUGGAAAACCAAGUUUCUGCUCAAAAUAGAGAAAAAGAUGUAUUCUUAGGAAAGUUAGCUCUUCUUCAGGAAGAAAGAGACAAACUCAUUGCAGAAGUAGACAGAUCUUUAAUGGAAAAUCAAAGUCUCAGUGGUUCUUGUGAAAGUCUGAAAUUAGCACUGGAGGGUCUUACUGAAGACAAGGAAAACUUAACGAAGGAAAUUGAAUCUUUGAAAUGUUCCAAGAUUGCAGAAAGCACUGAGUGGCAAGAGAAACACCAAGAGUUGCAAAAGGAAUAUGAAAUUCUUCUGCAGUCCUAUGAGAAUGUUAGUAAUGAGGCAGAAAGAAUUCAGCAUGUAGUGGAAACUGUGAGGCAGGAGAAGCAGGAACUUUAUGGCAAGUUAAGAAGCACAGAAGCAAACAAGAAAGAAACAGAAAAGCAGUUACAGGAAGCUGAACAGGAAAUGGAGGAGAUGAAAAGAAAGAUGAGAAAGUUUGCUAAAUCUAAACAGCAGAAAAUCCUAGAGUUGGAAGAAGAGAAUGAACGGCUUAGAGCAGAGGUACAUCCUGCAGGAGAUACAUCUAAAGAUAGUAUGGAAGCACUUCUUUUCCUCCAAUUCCAACAUGAAGGAGGAGCUGGAAAGGGUCAAAACAGAAUAUAAAACCCUCUCUAAGGAGUUUGAGGCCUUAAAGGCAGAAAAGGACUCUUUAAGUGAAGAGGUUCAACAUUUAAAACAUCAGAUAGAAGAUAAUGUAUCCAAACAAGCUAGCCUGGAGCCCACUGAGAAGCAUGACAACCAGCUGGCUGUCACUGAAGAGGCAACCCCUUCUGCUCCAGGUGAGGCUGAGGAGCAAGACUCCCCCAGGUAUGAACACGAGGCCUGAAAAUUUAGAAUCCACUCUAUCAGAGAACAGUGCCAAGCCUGACAUAUGUGAGAAUGUCAGCUUACAUGAUGAAAUUAAUAACUACCUUCAGCAGAUUGAUCAGCUCAAAGAAAGAAUCACUGAAUUAGAGGAAGGCAAGCAGAAAGACCAGGACUUUAGCCAGAAUUUAGAAAACGAGAGAGAUACUUUACUGAGUCAAAUAGCAGCAAAAGGAUGGUGAACUAAAAAUGCUUCAGGAAGAAGUAACCAAAAUAAACCUAUUAAAUCAGCAAACCCAAGAAGAACUUGCCAGAAUUACCAAGUUAAAGGAGACAGCAGAAGAAGAGAAAGAUGACUUGGAAGAGAGGCUUAUGAAUCAAUUAGCAGAACUUAAUGGAAGCAUUGGGAAUUAUUAUCAGGAUGUUACAGAUGCCCAGAUCAAAAAUGAGCUACUAGAAUCCGAAAUGCAGAACCUUAAAAAGUGUGUGAGUGAAUUGGAAGAAGAAAAGCAACAGUUAGUCAAGGAGAAAACUAAGGUGGAAUCAGAAAUACGAAAGGAAUAUAUGGAGAAAAUACAAGGUGCUCAGAAAGGACCUGGCAAUAAAAGCCACGCGAAGGAACUUCAGGAGCUGCUAAAAGAAAAACAGCAAGAAGUAAAAGCAGCUGCAGACGGACUGUAUUAGGUACCAAGAGAAAAUCAGUGCUCUGGAGAGAACUGUUAAGGCUCUAGAAUUUGUUCAGACUGAGUCCCAAAAAGAUUUGGAAGUAACCAAAGAAAAUCUGGCUUCAAGCCAAUGAACACCGCAAGAAGGCAGAAUCGGAAUUAGCUAGCUUCAAAGUACUGCUAGAUGACACUCAAAGUGAAGCAGCAAGGGUCCUAGCAGACAAUCUCAAGUUGAAAAAGGAGCUUCAGUCAAAUAAAGAAUCCAUUAAAAGCCAAAUGAAACAAAAGGAUGAAGAUCUUGAGCGAAGACUGGAGCAAGUAGAGGAGAAACACCUGAAAGAGAAGAAGAAUAUGCAAGAGAACUGGACGCUUUGUGUAGAGAAAAGGUCCACUUGGAAGAGACAUUUGGAGAGGUCAGGUCACUUUGAACAAGAAAGACAAGGAAGUUAAGCAACUUCAGGAAAACCUGGAUAGUACUGUGGCCCAGCUGGCAGCUUUCACUAAGAGCAUGUCUUCCCUCCAGGAUGAUCGGGACCAGGGUGAUAGAUGAAGCCAAAAAGUGGGAGAGGAAGUUCAGUGAUGCUAUUCAGACCAAAGAAGAAGAAAUUAGACUUAAAGAGGAGAAUUGCAGCGUUCUAAAGGAUCAGCUUAGGCAGAUGUCCAUCCAUAUGGAGGAACUGAAGAUCAACAUUUCCAGGCUUGAGCAUGACAAACAAAUGUGGGAAUCCAAAGCUCAGACAGAGGUCCAGAUUCAGCAGAAGGUCUGUGAUACUCUGCAAGGAGAAAACAGAGAACUUUUGUCCCAGCUCGAAGAGACUCAAAAUCUAUACGUAGCUCUCAGGAUGAUUUAGCUAAGUUGGAAUCAGAACUGAAGAUUCUCAGAGACCAGUCAACUGAUUUAAAUAACUCUCUAGAAAAAUUUAAGGAAAAUAAAGAAAAUUUGGAAGGGAUCAUAAAGCAGAAAGAGGCUGAUAUCCAGAAUUGUAAGUUCAGUUAUGAGCAGCUGGAGACUGAUCUUCAGGCUGCCAGGCAACUGACCAGUAGGCUGCAUGAAGAAAUAAACAUGAAGGAGCAGAAGAUUAUAAGCCUGCUUUCUGCCAAGGAAACAGGCAGUCCAAGUGGCCGUGGCUGAACUUGCAUCAGCAGCAUGAUAAAGAAAUUAAAGAACUGGAAAAUCUGCUGUCCCAGGAGGAAGAGGAGAACACUGUCUUAGAAGAGGAGAACAAAAAAGCUGGUUGAUAGAACCAAUCAGCUUAUGGAAACACUGAAAAACAUGAAAAAGGAGAACUUGCAGCAGAAGGCUCAGUUGAAUUCCUUCGUUAAAUCCAUGUCUUCUCUCCAGGAUGACCGAGACCGCAUAGUCAGUGACUACCAACAGCUGGAAGAACGACAUCUCUCUGUGAUCUUGGAAAAAGACCAACUCAUUCAAGAUGCUGCUACUGAGAAUAAUAAGCUGAAGGAGGAAAUCCGAAGCUUGAGAAGUCAUAUGGAUGACCUUAAUUCUGAGAAUGCCAAGCUCAGUGCCAGAGCUGAUCCAGUAUAGAGAAGACCUGAACCAAGUGUUGUCAAAGAAAGACUGUCAGCCAAAAGCAGCUCCUUGAAGCUCCAGCUUCAGCAGGUCAAGGAGCUGAAAGGUGAAUAUGUUAAAUUAGAAGCAAAGCUCAAGGAGUCCUGAGGAAGCAAGGGGAGGAGCUACAGAGGUCCUCUCUUGCCCUCCAGGAGGAGAAAACAAGAUUUAGCUAAAGAGACUGAGAGCUUGAAAGUCUCUCUAUCACAAUUAAAGAAACAGUUGACAGGCCCUUGCAAGAAGAAGGUACUCUAGGAAUAUUUCAGGCCCAAUUAAAAGCCAAAGAAGAAGAGGUACAGAAGUUAAGUACUAUCCUUUCUUCCUCUCAGAAGAAGUUAUGGAACUGGAAGAGGAAUUGGUUCAUGUUCAGAAGGAAGCUGCCAAGAAGGUAGGUGAAAUUGAAGACAAACUGAAGAAAGAAUUAAAGCAUCUUCAUCACGAUGCAGGGAUAAUGCGCAAUGAAACUGAGACAGGCAGAAGGAGAGGGUGGCGGAGCUAGCAAGAGAUCUGGUGGAGAUGGAACAGAAGUUACUCGUGGUCACCAAAGAAAAUAAAGAUCUCACAGCACAAAUCCAGUCUUUUGGAAGGUCAAUGAGUUCCCUACAAAACAGUAGAGAUCAGGCGCAUGAGGAACUUGAGGAACUGAAAAGGAAAUAUGAGGCCAGUCUGAAGGAGCUGGCACAGCUGAGAGAACAGGGCCUCUUAAGCAGGGAGAGAGACAUUCUUGUUUCUAAAGCUGCAUUUCCAGUGAUUUCCACUGAGGAUAACAGCUUGCCUCACCUUGAGAAACUUAACCAGCAGCUUCUGUCCAAAGAUGAGCAACUGCUUCACUUGUCGUCACAACUGGAAGAUUCUUACAACCAAGUGCAGUCCUUUUCCAAGGCUAUGGCCAGCCUGCAGAAUGAGAGAGAGCGCCUGUUGAGUGAACUGGAGAAAUUACGCAGUCAGAGGAGGAGGAGCAGAGGUCCGCAGCCCCACCUGCAACCAGCCCUGCUGAAGUACAGAGUUUAAAAAAGCUAUGUCAUCACUCCAAAAUGACCGGGACCGACUA